rnacentral:rRNA from 1 species
GACGAACGCUGGCGGCGUGCUUAACACAUGCAAGUCGAACGGAAAGGCCCUGCUUUUGUGGGGUGCUCGAGUGGCGAACGGGUGAGUAACACGUGAGUAACCUGCCCUUGACUUUGGGAUAACUUCAGGAAACUGGGGCUAAUACCGGAUAGGAGCUCCUGCUGCAUGGUGGGGGUUGGAAAGUUUCGGCGGUUGGGGAUGGACUCGCGGCUUAUCAGCUUGUUGGUGGGGUAGUGGCUUACCAAGGCUUUGACGGGUAGCCGGCCUGAGAGGGUGACCGGCCACAUUGGGACUGAGAUACGGCCCAGACUCCUACGGGAGGCAGCAGUGGGGAAUAUUGCACAAUGGGCGGAAGCCUGAUGCAGCAACGCCGCGUGCGGGAUGACGGCCUUCGGGUUGUAAACCGCUUUCGCCUGUGACGAAGCGUGAGUGACGGUAAUGGGUAAAGAAGCACCGCUAACUACGUG